rnacentral:lncRNA from 1 species
GGGCCGGUCUAGCUUGCUGCAUCGAUUCACGAGCUUGUNCGAUUGUUCAGCGAGUUUGUACUUUGUUCAACAAGUUGGUCGCUUGUGCAAGAAGUUUGUUCUGCUUUCAAAGAAUAUAGUCGAUAGUUGAAAGCGAAUGCUAAGUUUACGAUGUGUUGAUUGAAACAACAAAAUCUGGGUUACGUUUUGUAGGGUUUCUGAGCUCGAGAUAAUGAAUUGGAGGGGAGGAGCGGCACGGUCGCCUCGCUGUCGGAGAGGUAGAAGUGGAGGACCAGGAGGCUACAGAGGAAUGCCCGAGCGAUUGGGCAGAACAGCCAACGUUAUUCCUGAGCAAGAGUGAGAGGUACAAGUGCGAUCGAAUCCGGCAUUAGAUCUGACCGUAAGCGAUACAAACUAGCGUUACGCCUGCAGUAGGUCGGCCGCUGUGGUUGAGGAAGUCGUUUUACCUUUGUCUUGUCAAAUUUAGCUGCUUAAUACUUGUCUGGUUAUGUUCCAGGACUGAGUUUUAUGUAAUGUGAGGAUUAUAUGUGGUUAUGACUGACUUUUAGCCACCUAUUAUCUUUAAGCUACUCUGAAUAGGUACUUUUGACCUUGCAUUUGUUCUGUCUGCAUCUUUUUGCGUUGGGAAAUGCCGUACCUCAUUUGUAGCUGCCAGUGAAAGGUUCAUCAAAUGAACUUCGGAAAGGGUUUGUUUUUUGGGCAAGCACCAAGUGGUAAUUUGAACUGAAACAUAAACUUCCAGGCGCCAAUUGGAAAAUGUGAAAGAGGCACACGUACGGUAAAAGGGGGACCUUCUUGUUUAACAUCGCACAUACCCGUGUAAAAAGAAGAACAAGGGGGUGAGAAUAGAGAAACGGCUCCGUUGAAGACAAACACAAGGGGCGUUGAGGAGGGGGAAAUCGUUGCGAAAAAACGCAAAGACCCUUGUAUUCGUGGACAAAAACCUUGUGGACCGGGGAAAUUAACUUUUGGAUGAUUUUUCAUAACCCAUAAGAAAAGGAGCAAAUACCCCCGGGUGGGAACCACAAGUAACCCUCUUUGGAGAAGGAGAAACCAGUGAAUGAAAGACGGACCACCUUAUUCCUUUGUGGAAAAGUACACAAGGGCUUUGGGUAGAGAGGUAUGGUUGGGGGUAUGAGUCUGGGGUAUGGGGAUGGGAGGUAGAACCGACCGGGUCCUUGUUUUUUUCUGGUUUUGGGAAUCCACGACGCGGGCCCUUGGUGUGAGCACCGGGCGCGGUGGAGUCUGGAAAGAGGAAGGGGAGGGGAGAAUGGGGGUGCGCGGGUUGGAUAAAUUCACAGAAUUAUACCGGUCGGGCGGGCGGGCGGGAGGGGAGGAGAAAAAA